GACGAACGCUGGCGGCGUGCUUAACACAUGCAAGUCGAACGGAAGGGCCCUGCUUUUGUGGGGUGCUCGAGUGGCGAACGGGUGAGUAACACGUGAGUAACCUGCCCUUGACUUUGGGAUAACUUCAGGAAACUGGGGCUAAUACCGGAUAGGAGCUCCUGCUGCAUGGUGGGGGUUGGAAAGUUUCGGCGGUUGGGGAUGGACUCGCGGCUUAUCAGCUUGUUGGUGGGGUAGUGGCUUACCAAGGCUUUGACGGGUAGCCGGCCUGAGAGGGUGACCGGCCACAUUGGGACUGAGAUACGGCCCAGACUCCUACGGGAGGCAGCAGCGGGGAAUAUUGCACAAUGGGCGGAAGCCUGAUGCAGCAACGCCGCGUGCGGGAUGACGGCCUUCGGGUUGUAAACCGCUUUCGCCUGUGACGAAGCGUGAGUGACGGUAAUGGGUAAAGAAGCACCGGCUAACUACGU
rnacentral:rRNA from 1 species